CCUACGGGAGGCUGCAGUGGGGAAUAUUGUACAAUGGGGGGAACCCUGAUCCAGCCAUGCCGCGUGUGUGAAGAAGGCCCUCGGGUUGUAAAGCACUUUCAGUGAGGAAGAACGCCUGGUGGUUAAUACCCAUCAGGAAAGACAUCACUCACAGAAGAAGCACCGGCUAACUCCGUGCCAGCAGCCGCGGUAAUACGGAGGGUGCGAGCGUUAAUCGGAAUUACUGGGCGUAAAGCGCGCGUAGGUGGCUUGAUAAGCCGGUUGUGAAAGCCCCGGGCUCAACCUGGGAACGGCAUCCGGAACUGUCAAGCUAGAGUGCAGGAGAGGAAGGUAGAAUUCCCGGUGUAGCGGUGAAAUGCGUAGAGAUCGGGAGGAAUACCAGUGGCGAAGGCGGCCUUCUGGACUGACACUGACACUGAGGUGCGAAAGCGUGGGUAGCAAACAGGAUUAGAUACCCUUGUAGUC
rnacentral:rRNA from 1 species